UCAGACCCCCUCAACUUCAUCAUAUUUUUGGAAACACGAAUACAGCGCCAUCAUUAAGCUUACGGAAGAAUAUAGAAGCAGAAAAGCAGCACAAGUGUGCUUUGCUUUUCGUGGUUGUUAUGGUUGUUACGAUGUUACUUGUUUGUUAUUUCCUUCCAAGUCAGACGUGUGAUGUGAAAAAAGCUCACAGGAUGAAGAAAUUGCAGCUGGCGCCCAACAAAAUGGACCACGAUUCGUUCAAAUUGCGACAUGAACAAGCAAUCUGUAGCGCCCAUCAGCUAGACCACACCGGAACAGUAGAAAUGAAAGAAAUCAAUGUCCCUGGAAGCGGCCAGGUUAACUUGCGGUGGGACUCGGUUGACAGAGUACCGUUCGGAGUUUACAUCGGUUAACCACCGAAAAUGGAGAAAUGAUCGAUAGAUGUUUGCAGUCCUUUGUCUGGAAAAUGCCUCGUAUAACCUGAAAAAUGUUUAUCGUCAGCCAUUUUCCUCAAAUUAAUGUAUAGUAAUUUGCAGACUGUGAAUAAAAUAGUGUUUCCAAUA